rnacentral:lncRNA from 1 species
CACUUUGCAGGUUGACCACUUUGCAGGUUGAACAGGAUUCCAGCCCCCAAACGGUAGCUGGAAAACUUUUGCUGGUCACGGAGCCUUGGUUUUCCUGUCUUUAAGGUAGCUUUGUGUAUGUUAAGAGUUUUACAUGCACUUUCGCAAUGAAUCCUCACAAUUCUAUGGGGUGGGUUUGUCGUCCUCAUUUGACAGACGAAGAAGCUGAGAUUCAGAGAGGCUGUGUAGUCUGUCAGUGGCACACAGCUGGGAAAGGGCAAACCAGGACUCAGCCCAGGUCCUGUGACUGCCACGUGGUCUGGUUGUCUGGGAGAUCAUACUCUCUAGGCCUCUGCCUCCGGGCUUCUGGAGGGUUCAGCAGAUAGCAGACUCGGUAGGGUCUGGUGCAUGGUGAAGGGGUAGGACCACGGCAGUCCUGCUGCCUCAGCUGCUAGAUAGCUUUGAAAUCACUUCUGCCAUUCAGAGCUUCCCCAGAGGUCCCCACAGUCCAGGCCGAGAGCUCAGCUAUCCAUCCCUCCCUGGGCUCUGAGUCCAGGGGCCAGGCCGUGCUCCUCACAGGGGCUCAGGCAAGGGUUCCUCUUUUAACCACAAGGCUGGCGUGGGGGAACCUUUGGGGAGCAAGCAAAGAGAUGGCCUAUUUUGGAGAGGCCUCCUGUCUGGGUGAGCCCUGGGUAUCUUCUUAGCUUUUUCUUAGCUUUGCCUCUUGGAGGGCCUCAUUCAGAAAAGAACCCCACAGACUUUCUGUGAAGAUACUGAACUGAAUGGCAAGGCUAGAAGGGGCUGGGAGUCUCAACAACUACCUUAUUAGGCAGUGGGAAAACAGAGGCCCAGUAAAUGCGAGGAGCCCACUUGGGGCUCUUUACUGCCCCAGGCUGUACAAGGAUAGACUUGGUCCUGAAAGAUGGUCCCUCGUGACCAGGGACAGGAUAAAAGAUGGAUCUUCUGGACAGACAGCCCCAGUGGAGGGUGGGGUGCUUAGGAAGGAGCCCCCCCCACCCCCACGCUUACCCCCAGGGAGGAGGGAAUCUUCACCAGGACCCUGGCACUGCUCUGGACCCCUCGCAGAUUGUAUCUGCUGAAGAAAAAGCUCUUUGGGAAGCUGCAGUAUCAUCUCUGCCUUUGGCCCCAAACUGGCAUCUUUCCUCUGGUCUAAGACUGGAAAGUUGACGCCCCUCCCUACCAACCACCACCACAAAGUCAUUCCAAAGUUUGGUGUCAGUAACCAGGAAGUUGCCCGACAGCACGUUGCAUCCUCCUCCACCCCCACCUCCCACCGCCACCACUAACCAAUCAAUCCCAGACGGGCCCCGUCUUCCAACCCUGAAGCGGUGACCUCCUGACCCCUAGCGGCAAGAGCGAGGAACUGCACCUCCCGGCCCGUGCAUGUCCUACUGUUUGUUUCUUCUCAAACCGAGAGAACCUCCCGAUGCAUGGACUCUGGCUGUCGUCGACGCAGACUCUCGUGCACUGCUUAACACCGUUUUGCUACCAUGUGGUGGCUGCAGAAAAGGUCCUUAAACUGCAGCCCCACACACAAUUUUUGUACUUUCGUCUGACCUACUCGAA